ACCCCCCAGAGCUUAUCUUGGAGAAUACUUACCUCUCUCGUUACAUCAAAGAUGAAGCCUUGGACUGGUAUUUUGACUCGGACCUCUGUUUACUUGCGUCAUUGAGUGACUAUCAGCGGCUGGUCCUUCGUAAUGAAGGUGGCCACGAGUAUGUAAGUUGGAGUGAAUACCGAGAGUUCUAGAAUACCCCAGAAGCUGACAAAGAUUAUCUACAGUACAGGGAAUCGAUUGUGUAGAAUCUUAAGUGGUUUGAAGAUGAUGUUCUCAAAGGCUAUAUUCAGGGGCCUGGCUUCCGUAAUAGAGCUUUGUGCCAAGCAAUUAGGAUUGCUGCUAGGUUCCAGAACAUUGAUCUGAGGCUAGCAUAUCAUGGCAUCGAGGAGUAUAUACAGAGCACACACUUAGUGAAAGAUCUUGCUUGUUUAUUUUCUGAGAUCUGGAAACUGGUUAAUGGUCAUGAUCAGGACAAUGUACAGAUGUGUUUCAGUGAUGCGCUGGAGCAUGUUUAUGAUGAAAAUCGGUAUCCAUUACGCAAACGUAAUUUGAACAACGAGUUGAGGUACACUGGUGGUUUGAACCUGCAGGAACUAGUAGUUUUUUUUUCUUUUCCUUUCUUACACUUCCGCUUUGUGUUUUCAUUGGACAAUUAGUAUACCUCUUACGUUGCAAACUGCUUCAAUCAUCUUUCCUUGUAGUUUCGGCAGUGCACGCAGGGUAUCAGUAAGGAAGUUCCGGAUUCGAUAGCUCUUGAGUUAAUUUCCUGGGAAGUUAGGUUCAAGUGUGACCUGCCAAAGACAUAUGUGCAGUAUGCCAGAAAGAAGCUCAAGAUUGCAGAAACCAUAGGAUUGAUUCCCAAGGCCAAGAUAUUCGCGUAGUUGUUUGUUGCUUGUUGGCGUGGUGGUCAUUUGGAAUAAGUUUCAGAAAAUAAACUGUAAUAUUCCAGGGUAGCUACUGCAUCUAUGGUUAAACGCC